CAUCGAAAAAGACCAACGUCGCCUAACUCUCUCUCUCUCUCUUUCUUUCUUUCUUUCUUUCUUUCUUCUUUCUUUCUUUCUUUCUUUCUUCUU
rnacentral:ribozyme from 1 species